AAGCACGACUUUAAACCUGAGCUCUGCGUCUUUAGAAAGACGCAAAAGACGCGACGCGCGUCUGUCUAACACCUGUUUACAUAGAAAACAUGGAAAAAAAGCGCAGAUGAAUGCAAAAAGAGGCCUGUGUGAACGUCCUCUUUACUGUUGUAUAUGGAGCACCUACAGCCAGGUGGAACAUCAGCGGUAGAACGCAUUGUGACGCCAUAGUUCAGAGGCGACUUCAGUGGAAUCUGUUCAGAGCAGUUCAUCUGUGACUGAAGUUGUUCAGACCGUUUGAACUGUUUGUGAUCGCAAUGAAAAGCCGAAAAAGCAAGACGCUGGCAAGGCCAAGCAUUACUCCUACUUUUGAGAGCCCUUCCCAGACCCAGUUACCUCAAUUUACACCUUCCUUGCCUGGCCCAUCUUCUAACACGAGGCCUCCAUCCAGGCGCAUGAAGGGAAGACAAAAAAAAGUUGUGUUUCCUGACAUUGGAAAUGCAGUGAAUUCUGUGACCAGAAGAAACGGCACCGGAGACCCUUUACCAUCCGUCCCGGGAAUUCCAGCAGUGCCAAAAGGCGACCAGAAUGGGAAGACUAUGUGCAGUGAUGCUGCGACCUUUCUCUCUGCCACUGACAGGGCCAGACUUUUUGGCAUCAACAAGUGGUAUUAGAGUCCGGGGAGGAGAUGAAAUCAUCAGAAAAGAAGAAAUCUGUUCAAAAGAGAAAAACUAAUCUAUGUAAAAUAAUAAUUGUG
rnacentral:lncRNA from 1 species